GAGACAAAUUUUAAAUCAGGAUAAAUACCACAGAGGGCUGAUGCGGUGGCUCACACUUGUAAUCCCAGCAUUUCGGGAGGCCGAGGUGGAUGGAUCACCUGAAGUCAGGAGUUUGAGACCAGCCUGGCCAAGAUGGCAAAACCCUGUCUCUACUAAAAAUAUAAAAAAAUUUGCCAAGCAUGGCGGUGCACAUCUGUAGUCCCAGCUACUCAGGUGGCUGAGGUA